ensembl:miRNA Gm25593 predicted gene, 25593
GCCGUCGGCAUCUGGCACUGGGGUUCAUGCGUGAAAACUGCGGCCAGCGGGGCCUGGACCUACACCCCCACCUCUGCAGUCACAGUAAAGUCUGCC